UACGAAGGGGGCUAGCGUUGUUCGGAAUUACUGGCGUAAAGCGCACGUAGGCGGACUAUUAAGUCAGGGGUGAAAUCCCGGGGCUCAACCCCGGAACUGCCUUUGAUACUGGUAGUCUCGAGUCCGGAAGAGGUGAGUGGAAUUCCGAGUGUAGAGGUGAAAUUCGUAGAUAUUCGGAGGAACACCAGUGGCGAAGGCGGCUCACUGGUCCGGUACUGACGCUGAGGUGCGAAAGCGUGGGGAGCAACG
rnacentral:rRNA from 1 species